UACGGAGGGAGCUAGCGUUGUUCGGAAUUACUGGGCGUAAAGCGCGCGUAGGCGGUUUCUCAAGUCAGAGGUGAAAGCCCGGGGCUCAACCCCGGAACUGCCUUUGAAACUAGGAGACUGGAAUCUUGGAGAGGUCAGUGGAAUUCCGAGUGUAGAGGUGAAAUUCGUAGAUAUUCGGAGGAACACCAGUGGCGAAGGCGGCUUCCUGGCCUGCAACUGACGCUGAGACGCGAAAGCGUGGGGAGCGAACCGG
rnacentral:rRNA from 1 species